UUUGAUAUUUCUGUAUGAUCUGUAUUUAAAAUAGCUUAAUUUCCCUAGUCUGUGUUACAGCUCUAGGAAAUGUUUCAUCACAUUGAGAAACCAGUAAAACUUUGGUGUCUUGGGUAUUUAGCUUUUGAACAUGUACAUAGACAAGUCUCUUCACAUCUUCUUCCUUGUAUCUGUAAGUCUGUUACACUUGCAUUGUGAGAUGGAUGCAGUUUACAAUGUUUCUAGGUUUUUGCAACCAGCAGCCAUGUUAAAAGACAUUAUUCGAAGCCUGACAAAACAAAACAAAACCCCAAAACACCAGGCAGCAUCUGACAGUACUAAAAUAAUGCUGAGCCAUGCAAAACAAUAUAUUCUCUUUGUCUGAAUUUCUGUUGCUAACUCAUCAUAUAUAAUAUUUUAUGAUUUUUUAAUUUAAAAUCUUGGUUGUUUUUCAGCAAAAUUCAGUGUACGCAGAGUAGCCAAGAUAUGGAAGUCUUUACAUACACUAUACAUAUUGCACUAUUUAUUUUUCACAUUGACAUAUAAGAGAUAUGACUGGCGGCUUGCAUUUUUGAUGUCCAGCAGAGAAACAGAACUUCCACAAUGAAAACCCAGUUUCCUUGAAGAUUUGCCAUGCUACCAUGAGAUCAUCUCACAGAAGAUAAUUCAAGAUGGCUGAGAGUGGAAAAGUUUCAGGCACAAUGCAGUGGUGGUGGUACCAGUGGUUGAACCUCUUCCAUUUCUGAAGGGAUGUAUAUACCCAGACACUUCAACAUGGCCCUGCAGUCCUUCAUCAUGUUAAAGAACUCUUCUGUCAUUCCUGAGAAGAGGUUCUGAUCAUCAAAUAGCAGGUCCUCAACUGUAUCCUGAACCUCUCUCAGGAAUCCCGACAACUGGAACCAUGACAUCCUGUGAAUGACAACUGCUGUGGAGAUGGAUCUAGCGUCUGUGUCUGCAGCAUCCAAGCUGGGAGAGAGGUUCUGGCUAAUAACUCACCCUCCUUAAUAAUAGCCUGGAAGUGUUCUCUGUGCUUUUAUGGAAGAUGUUCA